rnacentral:rRNA from 1 species
CACGUAGGGGGCAAGCGUUGUCCGGAUUUAUUGGGCGUAAAGAGCUCGUAGGUGGUUCGGUAAGUCAGGUGUGAAACCUCCAGGCUCAACCUGGAGACGCCACUUGAUACUGCCGUGACUGGAGUCCGGUAGGGGAGCGUGGAAUUCCUGGUGUAGCGGUGAAAUGCGCAGAUAUCAGGAGGAACACCAGCGGCGAAGGCGGCGCUCUGGGCCGGUACUGACACUGAGGAGCGAAAGCGUGGGUAGCAAACAG